UUAUCCUAUCCCUAAAAAACGUACCAAAGAUCAUAGAUACUAUUCAUGUUGAUAUGCUUAUACUAUUCCCUUUUUUUGCUUCACUCUCUAAAAUAGAAGGAAAAUGCAGAAAUCCGCAGAAGGAAUGAGAAGUGCUCUCCAAAAUUCAGUUGUUGUUAGCGGGGGUGGGGUGGUGGUGGAUUAUAUUAUCUCAGAGAACAUUAAACAAUCUAUUGAGGGAUAUACAAAUUUCUUAAUCUAUUCGAGGUGAUCAAUAUUGAUUGUUAAGUAUGCAUUUUGGACUGAAUAUGAACGAUAAAAUUUGCAGGUCUUGAAACGGAGCGAUACUUCAUUCUUAUUGUGUGGUUCAGUUAUUUUACUAAAACGCAUGUUUACAGAUUAAGGUACAUUUGGAGUGCGAAAUGGAGGUUAGUUGGUAGUACUUUAGUGCAUAGGUGCAUAGGGCAUGCAUGAUAUACUAGUUCAAGAUAGAAGAAGGAGAAAUUUUAUGUUGCAAUUAUAGACCGGGAUCAUACCAAAGCCUUUAGAGCUAUAUGAAGUUACGACUAG